rnacentral:misc_RNA from 1 species
AGAACCUGAAAUCGUAACUGAGAAGAGAGCGCCCAAAAAGAGAUCGAAAGCGAUCAGAUCUGAAGAAACUGUUACGGCUCCAAUUUCUGCGGUAGAAACGAUAAAUGGGUCGUCAAUUAAGGAAAGAAAGAGAGAAGUUUUGGCAAACAGUGGAAAUGGGUUGGUGACGAAUGAGGGAGAGAAAGAGUGGAGUGAAGAGGAUCUGGAGAUACUGAAGAAACAGAUGGUGAAGAAUCCUGUGGGGAAGCCAAGGAGAUGGGAGGUAAUUGCACAGGCGUUCAAUGGGAAGCAUAGAGUGGAGAGCGUGAUAAAGAAGGCAAAAGAAAUGGGGGAGAGGAAGUUGGAGGAUAAUGAUUCAUAUGCAAGAUUUUUGAAGAACAGGAAACCAUUGGACACAAGAGUUCAAUCUGAGAUUGGUGAAACUAAGAAAGAUAAUGAUGGUGGUGGUGAUGAAACUAAGAAAGAUGGUGACGGUGACGGUGACGGUGACGGUGAUGAUGGUGGAGUGGGGUGGAGUGCAGGGGCGGAUAUUGCAUUGCUAAAAGCUUUAAAAGCAUUUCCUAAGGAUGUGGCAAUGAGGUGGGAGAAGAUUGCAGCUGCAGUUCCUGGCAAGUCAAAGGCAGUUUGUAUGAAGAGAGUUGCUGAUUUGAAAAGGGAUUUUCGGAGUUCAAAAGCUGGUGCUGAGAGUUAGAUGAAAAGUUGGAUAUCUUGACUGUUUACAGAAUUUUGAAUAUGAGGUAGCACUGGGGAGGAAAUACGUGAUUUGAUAUCUCCUUACUCUUGUUCUUCCCUCAUUUUUUUUUAUGAGGAAAGUUACUUCAAAUACUAUUUGAUUUUUGUUCA